UCUACUGUCCGCUGCGAGAUCUUGGCUGGAAUGUAAAAGGAAUGUCCAAAAUAUUUAAAUGACAAACAGGAUGGGAACUGAUUAUGAGGAAUAUGCUGAAACAGACAUCUGGCAUAUUCCUAUAAUCAGUAUCAUGGCCUUUGUAUACAACAAAAUUGAUUGGAACUCCUAGACUAGAAAUAUAAUUCAAGAUUUAAAUAAGGCACUGGUCAUAGUUUUAGAAAGAGUGGCUA
rnacentral:sRNA from 1 species